UCUUAACGGAAAGCCGCAGUGAAUAGGCCCAAGCGACUGUUUAGCAAAAACGCUGCUCUCUGCGAAGCCGUAAGGCGAAGUAUAGGGGGUAGCACCUGCCCGGUGCUGGAAGGUUAAGGAGAGGGGUUAGCGUAAGCGAAGCUCUGAACUGAAGCCCCAGUAAACGGCGGCCGUAACUAUAACGGUCCUAAGGUAGCGAAAUUCCUUGUCGGGUAAGUUCCGACCCGCACGAAAGGUGUAACGAUUUGGGCACUGUCUCAACCAGAGACUCGGUGAAAUUAUAGUACCUGUGAAGAUGCAGGUUACCCGCGACAGGACGGAAAGACCCCGUGGAGCUUUACUGUAGCCUGAUAUUGAAUUUUGGUACAGUUUGUACAGGAUAGGCGGGAGCCUUUGAAACCGGAGCGCUAGCUUCGGUGGAGGCGCUGGUGGGAUACCGCCCUGACUGUAUUGAAAUUCUAACCUACGGGUCUUAUCGACCCGGGAGACAGUGUCAGGUGGGCAGUUUGACUGGGGCGGUCGCCUCCUAAAGUGUAACGGAGGCGCCCAAAGGUUCCCUCAGAAUGGUUGGAAAUCAUUCGUAGAGUGCAAAGGCAUAAGGGAGCUUGACUGCGAGACCUACAAGUCGAGCAGGGACGAAAGUCGGGCUUAGUGAUCCGGUGGUCCCGCAUGGAAGGGUCAUCGCUCAACGGAUAAAAGCUACCCCGGGGAUAACAGGCUUAUCUCCCCCAAGAGUCCACAUCGACGGGGAGGUUUGGCACCUCGAUGUCGGCUCAUCGCAUCCUGGGGCUGUAGUCGGUCCCAAGGGUUGGGCUGUUCGCCCAUUAAAGCGGUACGCGAGCUGGGUUCAGAACGUCGUGAGACCGUUCGGUCCCUAUCCGU
rnacentral:rRNA from 1 species